rnacentral:lncRNA from 1 species
UACAAUGCAAAUUCAGGAUGUGCGGUAUACCUUUACAAUUAAUGUUGAACUCCAAUAGGCCAAAGAUUAGCUAUGGAAAAAUUAGACUUAACGGCAGGAUCAAGCUCAGGAAGGUAAUAAGACUAACACAUGAGUCCCAAUUUAGCACAAUAGGUAGAGCUACAUCAUCAAGCAAUAAAGGAACUGAGUCUACAACUCGUAAAUAUUAAAUUAGUCGACCCUUGUCACUACAUGAUGUAAAACAACCGUGAUAAAAUAAGGGAUGAUCUAAUUUGAACAGCUUGUAUUGCUCAAAAUUUUGCUUGACAUAGGGAAGAGAAAUACCUAGAAAAUGCAAAGAUAAAAUGGGUGUGAGCAGUCAGCAAAGGCAGCAGGAAUCAGUAAUUAGACAACCAAGGUGAACCCAGGCCCAGUAAUUUAUCACAACGAGUUCAGCAAGGAAACAAAACCAAAAUCGUAAUAUGCAACCAGCUUGCACCCAAAAACAACCUCCGGACAACUAAUAUCAAUGCACACUAAGUCUCAAAUGAACCAUAGAUUAUUUCACAGCUUGAAAGCACCAGUAGUCAGCGAAAACCAAUGAAAUAGUAAUAAUUGACUAAUUGUAUAUAUGUUUAGCUCUGG